GAUGCUGACAUAAAGAAGGAGCUGCAGAGUCUGCGGGAGAAGCACCUGAAGGAGAUCUCGGAGCUGCAGAGCCAGCAGAAGCAGGAGAUCGAAGCUCUGUACCGCCGCCUGGGCAAGCCACUGCCCCCCAACGUGGGCUUCUUCCACACGGCACCCCCCACUGGCCGCCGGAGAAAAACCAGCAAGAGCAAGCUGAAGGCGGGCAAGCUGCUGAACCCCCUGGUGCGGCAGCUCAAGGUCGUGGCCUCCAGCACAGGCUGGACGGUUUACCACCCAACGUCUGAGAGAGUGACCUAUAAGUCUAGUAGCAAACCUCGUGCUCGAUUCCUCAGUGGACCCGUAUCUGUGUCCAUCUGUCUGUAUUUGUUCUUUUGUAUUUUAUCACCUCCUGGCCCUUGGUUUUCUCCCCGCACCCCCUCCCUGUCUUCAUUACCUUUCAUACAUUUCAUAGGAUGCCUCCCCCACCCCAUCGAAGUCACCUAUUUAAUAUCAAAGUGGAACCCCAUGAGCCGGUCCCCUGGAGCGGCGGCCG
rnacentral:sRNA from 1 species